rnacentral:rRNA from 2 species
UACGUAGGGGGCAAGCGUUGUCCGGAUUUACUGGGUGUAAAGGGUGCUCAGGCGGAUCUAUAAGUCAGAGGUGAAAUCCCGAGGCUUAACCUUGGAACUGCCUUUGAUACUAUAGUUCUAGAGUUCGGGAGAGGGUGAUGGAAUAUCUGGUGUAGCAGUGAAAUGCGUAGAUAUCAGAUAGAACACCAAUGGCGAAGGCAGUCACCUGGCCCGUAACUGACGCUAAAGCACGAAAGCGUGGGGAGCAAACAGG